CCUACGGGAGGCAGCAGUGGGGAAUAUUGGGCAAUGGGCGCAAGCCUGACCCAGCAACGCCGCGUGAAGGAAGAAGGCUUUCGGGUUGUAAACUUCUUUUGUCAGGGAAGAGUAGCGUACGGUACCUGACGAAUCAGCCACGGCUAACUACGUGCCAGCAGCCGCGGUAAUACGUAGGUGGCAAGCGUUGUCCGGAUUUACUGGGUGUAAAGGGCGUGUAGCCGGGUUGACAAGUCAGAUGUGAAAUCCUGCGGCUUAACCGCAGAACUGCAUUUGAAACUGUUGAGCUUGAGUACUGGAGAGGCAGACGGAAUUCCUAGUGUAGCGGUGAAAUGCGUAGAUAUUAGGAGGAACACCAGUGGCGAAGGCGGUCUGCUGGACAGCAACUGACGGUGAGGCGCGAAAGCGUGGGGAGCAAACAGGAUUAGAUACCCUUGUAGUC
rnacentral:rRNA from 1 species